rnacentral:rRNA from 1 species
UACGGAGGGUGCGAGCGUUGUCCGGAAUCACUGGGCGUAAAGCGCACGUAGGCGGAUGUGCCAGUCAGGGGUGAAAUCCCGGAGCUCAACUCCGGAACUGCCUCUGAUACAGCACGUCUUGAGUUCGAGAGAGGUGGGUGGAAUUCCUAGUGUAGAGGUGAAAUUCGUAGAUAUUAGGAAGAACACCGGUGGCGAAGGCGGCCCACUGGCUCGAUACUGACGCUGAGGUGCGAAAGCGUGGGGAGCAAACAGG